rnacentral:rRNA from 1 species
UAGUGGAAGCGUCUGGAAAGGCGCGCGAUACAGGGUGACAGCCCCGUACACAAAAGCGCAUGUGCUGUGAGCUCGAUGAGUAGGGCGGGACACGUGGUAUCCUGUCUGAAUAUGGGGGGACCAUCCUCCAAGGCUAAAUACUCCUGACUGACCGAUAGUGAACCAGUACCGUGAGGGAAAGGCGAAAAGAACCCCGGCGAGGGGAGUGAAACAGAACCUGAAACCGUGUACGUACAAGCAGUGGGAGCAUGAGUUUACUCAUGUGACUGCGUACCUUUUGUAUAAUGGGUCAGCGACUUAUAUUCUGUAGCAAGGUUAACCGUAUAGGGGAGCCGUAGGGAAACCGAGUCUUAACCGGGCGUUAAGUUGCAGGGUAUAGACCCGAAACCCGGUGAUCUAGCCAUGGGCAGGUUGAAGGUUGGGUAACACUAACUGGAGGACCGAACCGACUAAUGUUGAAAAAUUAGCGGAUGACCUGUGGCUGGGGGUGAAAGGCCAAUCAAACCGGGAGAUAGCUGGUUCUCCCCGAAAGCUAUUUAGGUAGCGCCUCGUGAACUCAUCUCCGGGGGUAGAGCACUGUUUCGGCCAGGGGGCCAUCCCGGCUUACCAACCCGAUGCAAACUGCGAAUACCGGAGAAUGUUAUCACGGGAGACACACGGCGGGUGCUAACGUCCGUCGUGAAGAGGGAAACAACCCAGACCGCCAGCUAAGGUCCCAAAGUCAUGGUUAAGUGGGAAACGAUGUGGGAAGGCCCAGACAGCCAGGAUGUUGGCUUAGAAGCAGCCAUCAUUUAAAGAAAGCGUAAUAGCUCACUGGUCGAGUCGGCCUGCGCGGAAGAUGUAACGGGGCUAAACCAUGCACCGAAGCUGCGGCAGCGACACUGUGUGUUGUUGGGUAGGGGAGCGUUCUGUAAGCCUGCGAAGGUGGCCUGUGAGGGUUGCUGGAGGUAUCAGAAGUGCGAAUGCUGACAUAAGUAACGAUAAUGCGGGUGAAAAACCCGCACGCCGGAAGACCAAGGGUUCCUGUCCAACGUUAAUCGGGGCAGGGUGAGUCGACCCCUAAGGCGAGGCCGAAAGGCGUAGUC